AGGUGCUGAAAGCCUUCUUAGAUUUGGAGAAGUGCCGAUUUUCAAGAACGUGAAUCUUAUGAUAUGUAUGGGGAAUCUCUUAUGAUAAUCAUCCACGCCUUCCACUUAUUUUGAUGCCGGAAAGUUGGAUAGGUUGGCCCCUACGUAAGGACUACUAUAUUACUCCCCCUAUUUCUCUAUGAAAUACAAGAUUGGAUUGGAUUUGUACAGUGUGUAGGAGGUACAUUCUUUCUAUUGCUAUCCUUUCACUCCUCUCGACUCUACUUGAGAAGUGUUUUUCACUUAUAUGUUCUGUAUGAAUUAUAGAUAUCUUACAUAAGAGACGGAUUCUUCUUUUUGACUAAAGCACAGUAAGAAGAAACAUGAAAGAAAAAGAGAGAGACGGGAGCAUAAUAGAACUUUGUUCUUGCUUGACCAUUACCUUCCAUACAUAUAUUUUGACCAAUAAAUAGGAGGAGGUGUAUAUAGUUAGACAGAUAGAUGAGUAAAUACGUAUGAAUACUCAAAAUACUAUUAACGCCCGGCCUGAUCCAUCUCGAUUCAUUUGUAUGAUCAUAUCUAUCCGAUACAUUAUUUACGUAUCAGGAACAUGAUUGGGACUGGUAACACGAGAUGAGAGAAGUAUUUUCCUCCGAUCUACCAACUGAGCCGACCAUUUACCGUGCAUAAUCCUAGUAUAGUACUCUAAUCUAUGUCAAUUAAUGGGACUAAACAAACAAAGUAGUAAAAGGGACUAAACAAACAAAGUAGUAAUAAAUGACACUAGUAAGUGUAAGGAUAAUGAUAUGGACUGUGAAUGAUUCAAUAAUAGAGAUUCUUUGCCCAUAUAUGUUCAUUUGUACAGGUUCUAUCCAAAUUGGGAUAAGAUCAUGAUUGAAGUUCGGAUCCUUUUGUGAAAGAGUAGAGUGAAUGAGAAAGAUAGUGCAGUUUGAACUAAACCACUGAUGCAAAAUAUGGAGUAUAAUAACUUUGGAAGUCAGCUUUAUUGGGAAUAGAGUAGGCUUUAUUGGGAAUAGAGUGACUUGAAACCCUAACAUUUUGAAAGUCGAUGACAGACUAACUGCUGGAAGGAAAGGGUAGUUUCAUUUAGAUUCACUAUUUAUUUGAUAAGAGAAUGGCUUCCAAUUCGGAACUGAAACUGGAGUUCUUGUGCGAGUGUUGUCAAGCGACGACUCCUCUUUUCUUGGUUGCCAUAACAAUAGAGUAUUUUCAAACAAGGGAAGAAAUAGAAUCAGCAGCACCGAGAUCAGAUGCAGUUUCCAGGGGUAAAGUUCCUGCUCUCCGUCUCUGCUUGAGUUUCCGAACACAGGACUUGUUUCUAACUAGAGAAGAAAGGAACGAAAACAGGCGAACGAACAAAGAAGGCUUUCCCCUAGGUCGUUAUGUCUAUUCUAUGGAACGGAGCUACUCGUAGGAAAGAAAGACGUAGAGAGCCUAUGAGUAUAUGAAUGGAUUAGGAGGAUUGGGAUAUCUAAGAAAUGCGGAAAUCAAUCCUGAAGAGUCAAUAUCUGUUUCACGCAAACACCGAACUCCGACUCUUUAGAAGAAUUGUUGAGGCAUGCCAUAUACCAGCUGCAUUGCAUUAUGGACCGGCAUCCAGUCCAGUACCUGACCUUAAUCAUCUACAUAAGAGCAUAUCGGCGCCUAAACCCUAAACUAUACCAAUCGGACCCAACAUCCAUCAUAUUCGAUCCCUGCACCAAACAAACCAUAUCUUAUUGACUUUGCAAUCGUCCCCAACACAUUUCUACUUAUAUCUACCACCUAUCUAUCUAUAUAUCUAAUAGAGAAACAGGUACUACCUACCUAUAUAUCUAAUAGAGAAACAGGUCUCAACCUUCUUGUUUACUCGAUCGACUAACUGGUCUCAUCUCAACCUUCUUGUUUACUCGAUCGACCUAUAGCCAUAGGCACCUUAAAUGGAAAAUGGCAUUAUGGGACCUUAACAUAGAAAAUAGCAUUAUUUACCCAAACCCUAUACUAUCAAAAGGGGGAGGCACCCCAAGAGACUUGCUUAUUCCAUUCCAUUCCCUUACCUGCCAAGUCUGAUUGUCAAGAGUCGUACGAGUGUCUGAGGGCAAGGAAUAGUAUUCAAAAAGGAAAAGAAUGUACCCAUUGGCAUGAUAACCAAUCGCAUACCCAGAAGUCUGAUGAUGCCCGGACCCUUGCAAGAGAGAUUGAUGCGAAUGAGAUUGAAAACCUGAUUGGGCGAUAUCCUCUAAGAAAGAAUCAUUGCGACUCAUUUAUAGUGUUGUUUACAAAGAAGAUUGAAACUAUAAGAGAUACAACGGGAAGCAGCUAAAACCUUAAGGAUCCUGAUAGUUGUAAUAUUAAAGCAGUAUAGUUGUGUGUAUAAAGCUGNNNNNNNNNNNNNNNNNNNNNNNNNNNNNNNNNNNNNNNNNNNNNNNNNNNNNNNNNNNNNNNNNNNNNNNNNNNNNNNNNNNNNNNNNNNNNNNNNNNNNNNNNNNNNNNNNNNNNNNNNNNNNNNNNNNNNNNNNNNNNNNNNNNNNNNNNNNNNNNNNNNNNNNNNNNNNNNNNNNNNNNNNNNNNNNNNNNNNNNNNNNNNNNNNNNNNNNNNNNNNNNNNNNNNNNNNNNNNNNNNNNNNNNNNNNNNNNNNNNNNNNNCGAGAAAGAGAUAUCCAUAAUGGAAGCCCCAGAUAACAUAUGUGAAGACCCAGAGUGCAUCAAACAAAGAAAGGAAUAGGCGAACUUGGUUUGCGGCUUGCUUGGCAAAAAUAUAUAUAGUAGAGGGGUGAAGGAGCUCGGCGGGAAUAAGCUUAGUGCCGGUAGUGCAAUACUACUUUCAAUUACAGAAUCUGAUGAUGAAGAAUAAAAGACUCUAAAAGAAACUGACUCAUAUAGAAUGCAUGUAAGCAAACUGCUUCCUAAAAGCGACUUACUUAUAUAGAAAUGAGGUAACCAAAGAGCUUAUUAAAAGCAAUGCUGUGUUGGCGCAAUAUUGCAUAUGUUAUUUAGAAAAGCAUAGAGAACUGUGAGUUACUGUAGUGAGGUUACAGUUACUAUUGCGCAAGUAUAGUGCUUUUGGUGCCUCGUGCCUCUGUCCUUAGAUUCUAUGGUGAGGGCAGCCUCAAUUCGUUCUUCUUGUUCUUUCGCUCUCUUAUGAAUUAUAUACUAGUGGUUCUUAAUACUCCUAUCAACAAGCAAGGUAAGCGCGUGAGCUUAUUGUUGUUUAGAGUUAGGUUUACUCAGUUCCAUAAGAAGUAGCACUCAAUUAGAUUCUUAUUCCAGUGUUGGGUUGGUGACUUCUUUCUAUACUGUGACAGUGCUAGCUAAAUUCAAAGCAAUGGAACAAGCAAACAAGCAUCGUUCCUAAGUGCUAACGCUUAUCUCUGGGGGUCGGGAUAGCUUCACACUGGCCCAACUGUCCCUAUAGCUAGGUUAAUGCUUGACUUUGUAGCCUGUUUUUCGACCCCUAGAAACCCCUAACGAUAGAAGACUGGAAUUCACAUUACUUGUUCAACCCACUAACGGCACUUUGGGCGAGAUCCACUAGACAAGACAGCGCUACCAACCCAACCUGACUUGAUACUUAAGCGAGCAGAGCUUCUGGAUACGAGAUUAUUACUACAGCAAACUUUCCACUCCACUACUUUGAGCUACACCCUCACAGAAUAAGUAAUAAGUGACACCUCAUAAGUAAUAAGUGCAAGAUUCCAUGAGUAUAUUGAAACUACUUCUCUUAUUUGACUUGAAUCACUCACUUUCCCCUCAUCUCCUUGCUUUCUCUCAAGAAUAGAAUCCGAACCCCCGAUUCGAUUGCUUGUUUGAGUUCUACCACAAUAGCUGCUUUCAAGGAAUGCAAUCCUUAGAUGGUAUGGCAUAGCGAAAAGUUUACACCUUCAUUAUUCUAGGUAAGAAAAUCCCCUUUAGCCUACUCUACUUUUACAUAGCAAACUAGUUGGUGUACUCCCCCUCGACGCGCUGACCCGAUGUAAGUCAAUCCUUUUGUCUCACAGAUCCAUCUUCUUUCUUUCUUAGAGCAUUAUUGAAACCAUUUGAACCUAGUCGCGUGGAAGGAGCCAGAUUACAGAUACUUUCUAUUCUCUCGACGUCUUGACCCAUACAUAGUCUGCUAAUCGAUCAACGUCUUUGAUCCUUACAAGCUUGGAUAGGACAAUAUCUCUCUGUUGUUUGUUACAUAACACUGAAUUUGUUCGUUCUUAUUACUAUGAUUCUUUCUAUUCUUAUUUCUUACUCAUUUUGCUUUAUUAUUUAUGCUGGUUUAACCUCUUCUUAUUAAUUUGUAUAUGAAUACUAGAUGAAUACUAGAUGAAUACACUGUGCCCCCGACUCUGAAAUAAGCCCUCGAGGCAAGGCGCAAAGGAAGAGAUGCUCUUCUUUGGUCUUGAACUAGCUCUCCCCGCUCGAGAGUUCAUGUUGGCGAUUCACUUAAUGAAUAGGUCCUUUGACGAUUCCCUAGCAGUGCCUGUUUGGUACCGAGCUCUUUUACGUCUUUAUUCCUUCACGCGCUAAAAUCCAAUGGGCACGAUCUGCUAAAAAGCCUUGUUUAGUUGGGUCUACAGUUUCAGUGGGUACUCACCUGCAACAUAAGUUGGGCAAAACAAACCUAGGUUCAUUCCACUUUCCACUGGACGAAGGAAAGAAAGAGAUAGAAUACAACGGGUUUUCAGACGUAUAGAGAAUUACACGAGAAUCUAGCCUUGGUCCUCUCUUUCUUUGAUAGGGCACAUAAACCAAUAUCUAAUGUGAAAAGGUUAUUGCUUAUCCCGGAAUAAAUGACAUUGAGACAGAUCCAAGUUACUGCUCAAAAGAAAAAGCGGUAGUAGCCGGGCACCGGUAGCCCCAGCCCGUAUAUAACAGUAUCAGAAAGCUAGCACUCUUUGAUUGCGGGGAAUUUCCUCGAGUCGGGUUCGAUGCCACAAUUAUCAGAUGUGUUCAAUAGUGGUUUUUCAAUUCUUAUAAUUCACUUAGAUAGUGCUUUUGACAUUAUUCUAAUUCACUCUUUCAAAGGUAAUGAAAAGGUGUGUUUCGAAAUUCUUAUAAUUCCAUCUUUCAAAGGUAAUGAAAAGGUGUGUUUCGAAAUUCUUAUAAUUCCAUCUUUCAAAGGUAAGGUAAGAAAAUCCAAUGGUUUUGAUUCAGUAUAUUGAAAUGUUACCCACGCCCGGUUAUCCACUUUCAUUAAAACCAACAUGCCAAGCUUCCUUCUUCGCUCAAGUCUCAGUGCCAAAGUAAGGAAAAGCAAAGACGCCAAGGCUCAAGACCAAAUAAGCCCUACUUUUUCCUAACCUUCGGAGAGAAAGAAAGUAUUCGUUAUCACGCCUUUUCGUAGUAAGCCAAGAGUGAGUAAGUGCUUCAGCAGACUUGUCUUGGAAAGUACCAGGAACAAGUGCUUUAUAGAGUCAAUAAGGAUGUUCUAUAAUUCUUUCGCAAUGAAGCAGCGCCUCUUCAUUGUCUCUCGUUACAGGGUUGGAUGCAUAUUUGACUCUAUGGUUAGGUUCCUUGGUCUAGCCCGCAGAUCGCUUGUCGGGCGCUUUCGGGGGCUACAUCUUCACUUGCGAUCUUCCUUUUUCUCUUUUCCAAGUUCAAAAGAACAAGUAUCUUGUGUUAUAGCCAACGAUUUACCCCCUAUAGAGAGGUUAUACUUCCUAUUUCUCUAUUAGGCUGCUACUCUUAAAUGCAUGUCAAGGAAUGAAACUGUAUGAUAUACGAUCGCAGAGCUCCUUGAGUCGACUAUAAGACUGUAGCAGAGCCUCCUUGAGUCAACUAUAAGACUGUAGCAGAGCCUCCUUGAGUCAACUGUCCGUUUGAUAUACGAUCGCGGAGCUCCUUUAGUCUUAGCUGCCUCUUUUACUGCGAUUUGAAUACUUACUAAUUAGAACAUAGCUUUUGCAUGAAGUAGCUCUCACUCGAUGAAACAUAAAGGGCAGCGGAACAGUGAAAGAACUAUAGGGUUCUAUGGCUUUCUAUCCUGGAUCCGGGGAGCGACUCCCAUAUGUAUGUUCCUUUCGACCUUAAAGCCGAUUGGGACAUGGCUCCUUGCUCGCAUUUCUUUUCUAGUCGGGGUCUUUGUUCGACCUGCACGCCCGCUUUCCUAAAUAGCAUGAAAGGUUCUUCAAUGGUUUGGUCAAGAGGGGGAAUUUCCCAAGGAGAAAGGGUCCUUAUCUCAGGAGACUGAUCGGCGGAGUAAUUUGAUCAUCUCUGUACCGACUUCUACAUCACAAUGACUUUCUAAAGCUUAUGCCCUCUAUUUUCUUGAUUCUUUUCUUUCUUAAACAGCCUUAUAUUCUUUUUCUAGAAGUAAAGCGGACUAGCCAAAGCUUCUGGAAUCACCAACUCUAGCUCGUCCUUUUGGUCCUUUUCUGAUCCUAAACAAGAACGGGCCUACUUUGAGCUCAGCUCCAGGCACCGAUGCCGAUACAAGACACAACCGCUGCAGUUCGACUAAGAGCAUGGUUCCUCCUCCUAACUAAAUAGAUUGGAAGUUAUUAGCUUCAUAUCCCGGUGUUACAAACUUCUUAUUAAUGUCUUUCACGCUCUAAUGGAAGUUUUGUUAGUUUGAGCCAUUGUUGCGAAUGAGAUAGCUUGAACCUAUGUCUCCUAGAUAAUUUACAAUUCUGAAGCUCGUGGAUCCCUCUUUCGUUAUUCCCCCUUGGAUUCUUAGAUUUCUCGUAUACCUUUUUCUCCCUCUGAAAUCUGCACAAUUUCCGCCUUUUGCAUUUCUGGAUGAGAAUCCCACAUCUUUGAAACUAGCCCCACCGUCCCAUCCCCUUGAAUCGGGCGUAAAAGAUUCUAUUGAUGGUGGAAUCGUUCACUCCUCGGUAGAGCCAAGCCUGAGAAAAUCGAAUUAAUAAAGAAGGCGUUAGAAAGGAAGGACGAGGACUCUUGCUUGUCCUGCCAUGCCAUUCAUUCCUACAUAGGGCCUUUGCUUUCAUUGAUUCCUUCUCCCAUCUAUGCGACCACUUCCUUCUCCCAUCUAUGCGACCACAAGUAUCAAUCCAUCUCCAAUUCACGGGAUACCUAUGAGCCGUAGAGCCUACUACCCCAACGCCUUUGCACUUGGAUUUGUAGCUCCGCACUGCAUUUAUCUAUGCAAUGCCACUUUCGCAUUACCUUUUUCCUACUGCUACUCUUCUUAUACCGGCGAAGUUCUUUUGAGCCCCUGGCGAUCGAUUCUAUGAUAUUCCCCCACUUAUGAACGACGCAAAACCAAACCCUUUUUGAUGCCGUAGCUGCAGCUGCCUGCCACCUGCCGAUACUCUUUUCUUGUGACUCGCCUGCCCUCUAUCUCUUUUCCAUGAAUGAAUGACAUUGGGACAGAUCCCUCAAAAGAAAGCUGUAAGGUUGGUUUAAGGAAUAGAACAUCAAAUUGCGGCGUUAAGUACAAUAGUAAGCUCAGCACUGAUACUUACUUACUUAUUAGUGUUAGUAGAGAGCCUUUCAUUAAAGUAUAAGGAGACACAAAGAGAGGUCUUUCAAGGCGGUAUAAUCAUUUUGAUAGGUCUUCAUCAAGUCGGUAGAAUCAUUUGAAUCGUUGUAAGGGAAUGCCUUAGUCAAUCAACUCACUGCCAUUGACCAGGGGAGGGGGUGGGUGGCGAACAAGACUUGCUCGGCAACAGCUGAAAUAGAGGAAUAAGCACAUAGGUCUUGAAGAAGCGGGUCUAUCGAUGAUAGCUUUUUCCAUGUAACGUUGACUUUACCCAGGAUGCGCUUAUCGCAGAACGCCCUAUUGCAGAGCCCAUUAACUUACUCAAAAGAUCAGUAUAGGAAGUUGUUUAGGAAUAUGUCAAAAGGGACGUAUAGGAAGCAGUUUAGUAAUAUAGGAAGCAGUUUAGUAAUAUUCAAUUGUCAAGACCGCUGAGCCCUCCACUGUUAAAGAAAUUCGAUUAGUGCAGUAGGUAACCCAGCCCCUAAGGGUAGUACGGGCCGGCCUUAUACCAAGCAUUUCACUUCACCUAUGCCUAAACAAUGCAAGUAAUCGAAAACAAUGCAAGUAAUCGAAGCGUACCAUGAAAAGCAGAUCGAGAUAGACGAUUCAUAUAAUUGCUUGAGUCACUGAUUCUCAUUGCUUGAGUCACUGAUUCUCUCAGUUUGAACUAAUUACUCAUCUCAAAAGUAAUGUAGAGUUACUCAUCCAAAAAGUAAUGUAGAGAUAUCAUAGGGUAAAAGCUGCACUGCCUUGCGGCCCGCUUUUCAACAAGAAAAAGAACAUUCGACUGAGCUAUCGAGUAAGUAAAGUCGCAGCCUUUAGAGCUGGGUGCCGGGGCUAAGAUGAACCUCCACUCAACCCUCAACCUAGACAUAUAAUUCCUAACUCUUUAGUGGAUGAUUUGAUUGGAAUUACUAGCUCCUUAAUGGAUUUCAUUGAUUCUUUUUUAAGAGCUACCGACCCCAAGAAAAGAGUAUGUUACAUUUCCAACUGGCGGUCUACGUGAUUGAAGAAAGAGCCAUUAGCCCUUGCCUUCAACCAAAGCGGAUUUUUCGAAUAAAGGAAACACAAUGAUAUAAGCCUGCCCUGCAUAAAUCGUCCUGGCACCAUAAACGUCCUUAGCGCUCGCCCUAACUCCAGCCCGUCUUCCAUUCCCCUCCUUUUUUCAGCCUCGCUUAUGUUUCGCUUCAUUGUAAUAAUGAGAAGUCCAUUGUUGGCUCCUGCGCCAUAGCACCACACGCAUAGACGCAUAAGGCCUUUUUUCAUUAUAGAUUCAAGCUGACAACGCUUUCUCUUACUUAGGGAAGCAGAAGCUGCGGGUCGUCGUGUUCGUAAACGCAUCCAAAAUGGUGAAAGUUUCAUCCGAGGCAGAAGCUAACGAAAGACAGCGAGCGAAACGAGGGCGGGUGAAGGAACCGGGGAGAGUCAAUGAAUCCUACCUAUAACUUAAGAGCGGCAAAGAACACUUUGAUUCUAUAUGCCAUUAGUUGAAGCUGUCGUAUACAGUAAAAAGAGAAAAACCUUGCGCCAGCCUUAAGUAUGUAAUUAUGUAAUGCUAAUGAUUCGUAUACUAGGCGUGGUCUGAGUAUAUUCUAUCGACGGAAAGCGUCUAUCGCAGUGCAAAUCAUGUGAGUACCUUACCACCAACCAGAAAAAGUUCCUGCUCGUAAGGCUGGAUUCAAGCCAUGAUUCCAAAUCCGGGGUAGUGGGUCUCCGCCCGUGUGGAGUGUUUGGGAUAGCUGGGUCUAUAUAUGGGUAGAUAUACUAAGAUCUAUAAAGAACAAAUGGGAAAUGAAAACCGACGAAAUACGAUUACGGGCUAAGGAUAGGACCAGUCCGCUGGUCGAUAGGCCAAUAGGAACAAAAUAGGUAUGGCGCCCUAUCUUUCAAGCUUUCAAGGAAGUCGUCUUAUCAAGUUACCCAAUAGAAGGAAGGCUGAAAAACCGGAUCUAUGACUUCACCCUCCCUUGAAGCGCUUCUGGGCUGUUCACUGGAAGCUAGACCUAACAACUAGACGACCACCUGAUCGUAGACCAUCCACCAAAGCCUUUGUUUUUGAUUCUAUUUCUUAUGCAGGGCGUGCUAGCGGGAAGUCCGGUUAUGAACACCCUCCAUCAACCAUCGUAUCCAUUUUCUAUUAGGUGGGUCGGGUCAUAUUAGAUUAUAGUAAGUACAUUUAUUUGCUCCUUGUUAAAACUCAUAAUCGAAUCUCCUUCUUCUAGGCAACCAGGCUUACUCGUAAGAAAGGUAGAGAAUAGAGUGGACUGGGCUUGUUAAAAGAAGUAUGAGUUUACAGUGAAAUCAGUAGUAGUUGCCCUUACAUUAAGUCGGCCUAGCCAGUAGUAUACGAGAGGGGAGCAUUAGAUAGUAGCAAGAGGGAGUUCAGUCUGCUACUGACACUCAACAGGGAGCUGGCUUUCAGCACCUCACUUUUUCACUGUAACUGGGCAUUCAUUCCACUUUAACUUGACCCGGACUAAGGGUUCAGGAAGGAUCUUAUUAGCAGAAUUCAAUGAAUUUCACCCUGCUUGCGUCAUCUGAAAGAAAAGAAGGGGUAUGGGUCUUUGAGGCUGAGGGCUGUCCAAUUAUAGAGUUUACUCAUAUUGGAAUUAGAGAGUUUACUCAUAUUGGGAAGCUAGGAAUAUAGGAAUAAGAUAUAGUAAUAAGGGAAGCUAGGAAUAUAGGAAUAAGGGAAGCUAUGAAAGGCAACUACUAGACUCGCUAACCACUUCUAUUUCCUCUCCUGGUAGUACUGUUAGAGUUAGAGUUUCAGACCAGUUAGUAGAUACCUUAUUCUUAUUCUAGGUAUUGUUGACAGAGCAAGAGGUGAAGUAGUCGUCAGCAGCAAACGAUAAGGGAGUUGUUGCCGGGUAGCAAGUAUACGAGUAGUUGGCUCUUUGAACACAAGUCCUGAAUUCACCUAUAUUAGAGAUGAGUGAAACUAGUAUAUGUACCUUCUUUGGCGCAAGUAGUAGAGUAGUUGGCUCUUUCCAAUUAAUUGAACCCUGCUGGCUCUGCUGGGCGAGUGGAAUCUUUUAUCCUUUCUAAAGAUAGAAGAAAUAAAGAAAGAAAUCCAGUGGUCAUGUUUUUCACUGUGAAACCAACCCUGGAGUAGUUGCUAAUGACAAAUUCUCCGAAGUAACAAUAUUAGAAACCAUUGCUUGUCUCCGGGUCUAAAGUCUCAGUAACACCUGAUUUAGAGUAUUAGGCUUUCCCCCCUGAACCAUCUUUUGAGUCCUUUCCUGGAGACUUAACUGCUGAUUCAGAACAAACACCUUACUGACGCAACUAAGUACUAAACUUCUUGGCCCUAUCCACUUUCCGGAUCCCAGUAUCUGUCUGAUAUUGUCGCCCUUUCUUUUCCACUGUUGAUUCUCUCGGCACCAACACACGAACCCGGCUCCUGCUGCCCUGGCUUUCUUUCUCACUUUCCAGAUAGCUCACCCCUUAUUCAGUGCUUUAAGGCAACAAGCAACUACUCAUGUUGCGCGUUAGCGAGUUAAGGGCUCACUACUUGGAGUCUGAGUCUACCUGGUGUCAUUCUGGUUAGCAGUGAUGGAAUUCUUAAAGUAAGUAUCAGCUCCCCGCUGGCGACUUUCAUUCUUUCACUCCUUAGUUUGAUUCUGAUCUAUUCUGAUCUAGUACCCAAUAGCCAGGGAAUCAGUGGUAUAGUUAACAGACUUCAGGGAAUCAGUGGGAGUGAUUUCAGCCUGUGACUACUUAGUUUGAUCCGUUCACCUAUAUAAAGAGAAUAUAGAAUUUAGUAAGGGCCAAGGCCAAGGCCAAGCAACGGCGCGCCAAGACACUACUAACGUGUCGCGGCAGCGAGUUGAAAGCUGCGCGGCAGCAGCAGCAUAGAUAUGUUAUAACCAAUUAUGACCAAGUCAUGUGUUCGCGUUACGCGGCAGGCGUUCUCCCCACAAUUCUCUCUUUUCUUCUAUGCUUAACACAAGCACCUGAACCGACCUAUAAUAAGUGUUCACCCCGACCCGACCUAUCUUUCCAUUGGCACAACUAAUGCUAUCAGCCAAGUCGCGUAUACAAAUAGAGAGAGGAGCCUCAUCUACUUAUUGCUCCUAUCUUAUUACUUCUAUGCUAUCUCUUAUGAAACAGGACUAGACUACUACUCCACUGGCAAAACAGGACCCCUACGCAGCUAGGCACAAGUUGAUCUAAAGUAAACAAAUCAUUCAUCUACUUCUCCUCUGGCAACUGACACUCGGUCUUCAACUAGCACCGAACCUAUCUCUACCCUUAACAUUAUUGUUUCUAGUUCCAACCAAGGCUAUGGAGGUUUCAACUUCCACUCGGUAUUCCACACUUCGAUUUUCAGAACUGUCAACACCUUACUUUAGAACUGAGCUUGAUUGUUCCCCUGUUGUUACUGUUGCUGAUGGGGAUCUGUCUUCUGUAGUUUGAUUUGAUGGGAAAUCCUUCAUUGGAAACUCAGAAACUUGCCAACGAAGUCAUUUCUGCCUACCAUCUUUAUGGUUCCUUCCCUGAACUAAUUGAACUAGUUGACUUCCCACUACUCUGGUAUUGUAUAAGAAUAGUGGCCCAGCGACUACUAGAUGCGGCAGAUGGGUCAUAUAACUACUGAGUGCAAUUCACCAAGCAACUACAACAAGGCCCGAGCUACUGCUUUUCUUUCCAUGACUACUUAUACGGAUGCUUAGAUUUAGUCUCUCGCUCUUGUCUGUGAGUCUUCCUUGCCUUGCCUAGAUCCCAAGCUAACUCUUAUGGUCUUAUAGCUCUGCCGGGUAUCCUGACUUUAUUAUCUCAUUCCCUGCGGUGUUUCUCCAAUUCCCAUGCACGCUCUAGCUUAAGACCCGGCAGUGACCAUUCCUAUAGGAGUCAUUUCAUUCUUUUACUAAUGAGUCAACUUCUGCAUUCUCAGUGCAAUUCCUUAUUCUUAGUUAUUCCUCUGAUAAGUAAUAGUUGUUUUGUCUUGCUAGGUGCCUAGCCUAGGGUAUAUGAGUGAGUAGAACAGAAUCAGUAUUAGUCCUUAGUUCAAUUCGUAUAAGUAGUAAGUGGGAUUCUUUAACAAACAAGUAAGGAUCAAAGAUGGGAAUAGCAGACCCAAACCUAACUCUCUAAAGGCGGAUUGGGAGUCGAACUACAAAGUUCUUUUUAUCGGACUCAACUCACACUCAAGGCAAUAAGGUUUUAGGCUGCUUAGUUCAUUUAUUCAAUGAAUGUCCUUUAUUCGUACUAUACUAUUUGUCUUAGAGCUUGUAUCCAAGGACAGGGAUCCUUACUUAACUAGAGACUAAUGGCCCAAUGAGAGCCCAGGUCACAGAAUUUCGUUUCUGAACAGAGGAACCUAGUGUUCGAUCGGUUACUACUCUACUACUACUCUCUUCGGGCUUACUACUCAAUAGUUGUAGGCUUACUUCUAACAUGGACUAAUAACUUAUAACUCAUAACUAGUAACAGACUGAAACAACUAUACCCUAGCCUCGCCUAACAAGUAAGUAAGUCAACCUGCCUAGUACAAGUAAGUAAACAAAGAACUUACUAUAAGGGCCUCUCAACUGGACCACUACUUGUCAACUUCAGACUCCCUCGGGAGCUCAACUAAGUAAGUAUAUAGUAGAAAAGGCGCACACAGGACAGAUAUAGUAGUUCCGCUAUUGCUCUUGAAACUAAAGUACUGCUUCCAAACCUGCUCUUCAAACAACUUCUUUAGCGGCAGUCCGGGUUGGGAGUAGCAACACCUACUUCUAUUGAACUAAAUGAAACAAGUGAGUUACAGCCUGUGUUGUGUUCGUAUGCCUCUGCCUCUGCUGCCUAUGCCUUUAGUUAGUAAUUUGUAUGGGGUUCGUCUGCCUCGCCUCUCAAUCUUAUCUAUCUUAUCUUGUUAAAACAAGGGAAAGGGUAAACGAGGUCAUUCAUAUGAGUCCCCUUCAGUUCGAGGUCUGUUAUGAAAGUCUAGUUAUUGCCCCUUUAAGUAGUGCUUCUUCACAAACUACCCGAGCCGCCAAGACACGGAUAGACAAGUUACUACUCAUAGCUUCCCUUUCAGACUACACUAGGGAUAGGGAAGAAACAGAAUCAGGCCAGGGCAGCUAGGGCCAAGUCACUCAGAUAUUAAUUCUCCGAUGUCAACAAAUACUUCCUCUCCUCAGCUACAAGGCCUUAGCAACCUAUCACUUAUUACAAAUAUUCUGCAUUACAAGUUAUUGGAAGGUUAUGACCAAUCCUAGGAAAGAAAUAAGUCACAAUUAUUCAAAAUAAGGGAGCUGACUGAUGGAGAGUCAAAUUGAUAUGAAUGAGUUGCUUUGAUGUUGACUACCAGAAAUUAGUAAAAUAGUUGCCCGAGGUAUUAUAGAAGAUAGUAGCCAAGAUAGUUGCCAGAGGUAGAGGUGUUGCGGGAAGGGGAGGCGUGUAAUAGAAAAAGUCACUAACCCCACAACCCAGUAGGGCUCUUUCUCGAUAGUAGGAAAACCCCGUAGGGCUCUUUCUCGAUAGUAGGAAUUUGCCUCUACAGUAGGAAAGUAACUUCACAGUGUGUUUAAAGCAAUAAAGUUCUAAUUUCACUUUCCGGUAAGAAACAUAAGAUUUAGCUAGGUCUGAUAGCUCAGCAGAUAUAUAACUGAUAGCUCAGCAGAUAUAUAAGUAUUCCGUCGACUAUUAGACUCUAUUCUAGUUCUCUCUCUCGCAUUACUUGAAACAAAGAAUUCCACUCCAAGGGAGGAAACGGAGCCAAGCUACUCAGAGACAAGACUCGGCAAUAAAUGUAUUAUUAAUGAAGUUAUGAGCAAGUCCUUUAUUCUAUUCUGGGCGGUAGGAGCCGAGUUCUGGCGGUAGUGAGUUCCAAGCGUCAGCUACGAAAUAACUUGUUUCAUCCGGUAUUAUCCUUAAGAAAGUUCUAUUGAUUUUCUUAUACAGGGUGUGUACAGUGUCAGUAUAGGAUCAAUUCCAGUCGUUUUUCUUUUGACUAUGGUGAUUCCAACAGUUUUAAGCCCACUCUACAACUCUCUUCUUUUCUUUAGUUCACUACCGGUCAACUCUCUUCUUUCUUAAAGGAAGGAAUGCUAGGUGGUUCGGCAAGAAAAAGCCCAGUGUUAUCUAGCUCUAUCAUACAAUACAUCGCUCUUUACCGCUCGAACAAGAACAGGGCAUUCUCAUUCUUCAGCUCGAACUAUACUAGCAAAACCGGGAAUCAUACUAACUAAUAUCAGAAUAAACCCACAGCCAAUAAGAGGAACGCGGCCUUUGAAUCACUGAUCGCCGGGGUUGCAACAAGCAAAUAGUACCUCCCUAAUAAGAAGGAUCCUGCUCUACUGCCUAACAGCCUUACUAUCUUCACUUUUCGCCUUACUUGAAAGCCUCUGAGCUUCUAUGCCUCUACUCCUUUCCUUAGUUGCAUCCUAUCUAUCCUAUCUAUCAGUCCGCCCCUUGACUCUUUAACCACUGAUUCGGAUCUUUAUUUGAGUGUUUCGAACCACAACAUCCCGGUUUGUUAGCCUGCAACUCAGCUCUCCUAUUCUUAUACCUUGGAGUUAGCUACUGAUCUAAGUCUCGCUUUUGCUAGUUUGUUUGUUAAUCUGCUUGUCGAGUUUCAUUCCUACUAAACAGCCAUAGUACAAGUCAUUCUCCACAGACCCAUAUGAUAGACAAAGACAUCCUCCGUAUCACCGACCCUACAAUGGAAAAACCCUUAUCUCGGUUACCCAAUUGCAUCCGUUAUUGCAGGAUGGAUUCUUUCAUUCCUUAUUCCGUUUCAGUGUCUCUAGUAUGAGAGUAUGGGGCGCACCUACUCGUUCUUGGGCUGCGGAGCUCGAUUCCUACUUCUUAAAACUCAUUCUUUAACAGCAGAGCUUAACUCUUACUUUGCAUCUCUUAAAACGGAAGCUGCUCUCUGCCAUUCUUACUUGCUAGUUUGUGAUUCCCUUGUGUACAUGCCGCUGUUCCUCAUACACCUAUAGCACAUGCGCUACUGCAUUUAAGGUAAGUAGCCUUAUGAUUCUUUAUCGAAAGGGAGAGGCAUAUCAGGACCUUAGUUCACCAAUAAUAAGAGGAAUUAUGUUAACUUCUAAUAAUGAUGUUUACUUGACACCGGCACUAACAAUGAGGAAUGCGCUACUACCCUAUUAGAUCGAGAAACACUACUGGAAGGGAUCUAUUGACAAACAGACUCGAACUACCGCUUUUAAGGCAGCCCUUCCCCCUAUUAGUCUGUAGAGCUCCUGCCCUUGAUUGUUUCCCUCUGGACACUGAUCCUUGAACUAAACCAGUGCUAACAGGGUUCUCACUGCUGUCUCUUAGCCUUGUUUUGAAACUAACUUCCCCCACGCACUCUGACUCUUUGCUUUGAUUCCAAUGCUCUUUGCUUUAAUGCUCGAACUACGGACCCGUAUUCCCUAUCUAAUGAUCCAGAUCUUUUAUCUUAUUAAUAAGUAAUUGGACUAAUAGUAGCAAGACGAUAACUCAAAACUAUGGCAGUGACUGCAGCUUAUAGGGCUGUUACUGCAUGGAAGUUGGUGGUCGUUAGUGAGCGGUAGCUCUAUUCUAGGGGAGUAGUUAAGUGAAGCCUGUUUGCCAUUACAUUAGUUCCAUCCUAAUAGUUAGUAACUCGAUUCUUGUUAUCGAAGAAAGCGGAAUGAAAAUAAGUGUAUUGAGAGUCAAAGAUGGGAAGAGCGGGCUAGUAGGAGGUAGUCACUACGGAAUGAAGUGCAAGAGGUUAGCGAUCAAUCUAGUAGUUAUUAGUUCCGUUCGGUAGCUCGUAGUUUAGUCGAUAGCUCGUAAUUGAGUUCUCAUAUUAUUAGUUAGUUAGGGCCUUGUUAUAUGCAAGUGAAGCCUGUAUUCAUUGUGGAAGAGCUUAGUUUCCCCGGUACCCCGACUGGGAAUGGGAAGCUUUUGAUUCUCACUUUGGAGUCGAAGUCCUAUCAGUGCAAUAUCUGUUCCCUUCUUAGAUACCUAUAAAUACGACAUUCUCCCAUUACUGGCACAGUUUCUUACUUGGUGGUUGACACCUUAACAAAACUAGUGCUCCCGAGACUUAACCUAUUGGCGAACAAUGGUUCCUUUCCUGCCUCCCGAGCCUGUCUUCUAUUCUUUACACGCUAGGUAUCAAACGGACAUUGUGCCCAAGGGCUUUAGGAUCCUCUGCCACAUGUAUCAGCCUACCGUUAUUAACUAGCAAACUUAUAUUACUGCCUUAGAGUCUUAUUACUCGCAACACAGGCUUAGGCGAGUGAGGCAAUCCAUAUUCUUGUAUUAGCUCUUAGGUGACUGUAGGACAUUCCGACUUCUUAGCCCAAUUCUCAGAAAUGAGUUUAUUUACUCAGGGGGCAUUAUUGGAAUCUGAUUUCUAUUACUUUUACUCUGAUUAGCAGUGGUGAAAUCCUUAUAUGAGUAAGUUCAAUCUAUGUGGGCAGUUACUGAUUCUUUCUAUUGGUCUUAUCGCUCUUGUAGCAGAGACCAGCAUCUUGUAGCGUAUGGUAUCUUGUAUUAUUGACUUGUAGUAUUAUUCUCGUUAGUUGAUUUCCUAGCUAUGAGGAACAGUAUUAGAGGUUGUAUUAUUUGUAGAAUGAGAUAGAGCAAAGUAAGAUCUAGGUUCAGUAAAGUGAGACUAACGGCCUAGGUAUAGAUAGUCGGGAAAGGCGGGACGGGGCUAGCUAGCUAACUAGUGGAAUGAAGAAUCAAAGGCAGUAGAUCCAGUUUUCAAGCAAGCAAACCCAAGGUCACAUACCUGUCGAAUCAAACUCAAAUGCAUAAUAAGUGGAAUAGUUUUCAUCUCCAAUAGGGGGGCAGGCAUUAAUAUUCAAAACUCUACAGCUGGGACAUCAUACACAGCUAGAUCCUAUUUGAGUUUAGGAGAUCGAAAGGGCAAAGAGAGCCAACCGGUCAUGGUCAUCAUGGAGAAAAAACCACUACUUUUUCGUUCAAUUGGCCUAUAACAAUCUUCUUAUCACUAAGGGCUCGAACCAUAAGAGACCACUCUGGGUUCAGUUAAAGUCUCUCUUUGGUCACAGCCUACUCGUUUUCGCAAGAUCCACAGGAGAAAGGGGGGUUUAGUUGAUUGGAUCUCGAUGACCUCUCCGAAAAAGGGCAGCUUAAGGAAGAGGCAAAAAGGAGGGCUUCUUCACAAGGCACCGGGACCUAAACUUUUCAAUUGAUGUGGCUGAGAUUAGCCUGAAACAACCUCCAGGUCCGCAAUCCUUUUUAUCUUAGGUUAGACUAAGGGAUGCUGAGGCUCAGGUAUCACAGGCCGUCAUCCAGAAAGUCAUUACUACCCUAAACCCCUUUUACCGUUCAAAAGAAACAGAGUGAGCAGAGAAGUGAUUGCUAAUCCACACAGAAAGGCUUGUUAUUACGAAUCAUGUGCCAAAUGCAAUCAGGCAUUCCAUGAGAAAGAACCAAUUCUCUGAGAAAAAGAACCUUGCUUGCCUUACUAGCUCUCUUGUUAUGAGCAUGUACCACAGGUGGAUUCAGUCCCUUCCUUAUAGCCUUGCAGUCCAAUCUUAUCUACAAUCCUUUUUCUUUAUUCUGGGCAUCAAUCCCAUGUGAGCAAAAAGGGCCAAGUCAUCACCAAAAAGGUAACGGAAACCCGACAAAUGAUAGUCAUGAGGGCCAAGCAACGGGCCAAGCUACUCAUACCGACAAGACUGACCCCGCUAAGUAGGAGUACAACUGCGACUUAUAGUACUGUUGCUACUGAUCCAGAUCCUUUACAAGUUUGGGCACUUUACCUAGUCAUACUUCUUUGGGCACUUUACCUAGUCAUACUUCUUU
rnacentral:lncRNA from 1 species